GACAGAGGCCUCAAGCGUUAGGCGGAAUCACUGGGCUUAAAGCGUGUGUAGGCGGAUCGUUAAGUGUCUUGUGAAAUCCCACGGCUCACCCGUGGAACUGCUGGGCAUACUGGCGAUCUUGGGCCAACUAGGGGCAACUGGAACAAGCGGUGGAGCGGUGAAAUGCGUAGAUAUCGCUUGGAACGCCAAAGGUGAAAACAGGUUGCUGGGGUUGUGCCGACGCU
rnacentral:rRNA from 1 species